rnacentral:rRNA from 1 species
CAACCGGUGGAGCAUGUGGUUUAUUUCUAUGCACCGCGAAAAACCUUACCUGGCCUUGACAUCCACGGAAUUCGGCAGAAAUGCCUUAGUGCCUUCGGGAACCGUGAGACAGGUGCUGCAUGGCUGUCUCCACCUCGUGUUGUGAAAUGUUGGGUUAAGUCCCGCAACGAGCGCACCCCUUAUCCUUUGUUGCCAGCGCGUGAUGGCGGGAACUCAAAGGAAACUGCCGGUGAAUAACCGGAAGAAGGGGGGGAAGACGUCAAAUCAUCCUGGCCCUUACUGCCAGGGCUACCCCCGUUCUACAAUGGCACAUAAAAAAACAACCCACCUCGCGAAAGCAAACGAACCUCAAAAAGUGCGUCAUACUCCGGAUCGGAGUCUGCAACUCCACUCCGUGAAGCUGGAAUCGCUAGUAAUCGUAUAUCAAAACGCUACGGUGAAUACUUUCCCGGGCCUUGUACCCCCC